rnacentral:rRNA from 1 species
AAAGGAAUAGACGGGGACCCACACAAGCGGUGGAGCACCUGGUUUAAUUCGAUAGUGAGCGAGGAACCUUACCUAGGCUUGACAUCCCGAGAAUCUGCUGGAAACAGUGGAGUGCCUUUUGGAACUCGGAGACAAGCGCUGCAUGGUUGUCGUCAGCUCGUGCCUUGAGGUGUUCGGUUAAGUCCGUAAACGAGCGCAACCCUUGUGCUAUGUUGUAUUUUUCAUAGCAGACUGCCGAUUCUAAAUCGGAGGAAGGUAAGGAUGACGUCAAAUCAGCACGGCCCUUAUGCCUAGGGCUACACAGGUGCUACAAUGGUCGGUACAGUGGGCAGCAAUGGAGCGAUCCGGAGCCAAUCCCUAAAACCGAUCUCAGUUCGGAUUGAAGGCUGCAACUCGCCUUCAUGAAGUUGGAAUCGCUAGUAACCGCGUAUCAGCAAUGUCGCGGUGAAUAUGUUCCUGGGUCUUGUACACACCGCCCGU